AUUGAACGCUGGCGGCAUGCUUUACACAUGCAAGUCGAACGGCAGCGCGGGCUUCGGCCUGGCGGCGAGUGGCGAACGGGUGAGUAAUACAUCGGAACGUGCCCAGUAGUGGGGGAUAGCUCGGCGAAAGCCGGAUUAAUACCGCAUACGACCUGAGGGUGAAAGCGGGGGAUCUUCGGACCUCGCGCUAUUGGAGCGGCCGAUGGCAGAUUAGCUAGUUGGUGGGGUAAAGGCCUACCAAGGCGACGAUCUGUAGCUGGUCUGAGAGGACGACCAGCCACACUGGGACUGAGACACGGCCCAGACUCCUACGGGAGGAAGCAGUGGGGAAUUUUGGACAAUGGGCGAAAGCCUGAUCCAGCAAUGCCGCGUGUGUGAUGAAGGCCUUCGGGUUGUAAAGCACUUUUGGCGGGAACGAAAAGGACUGUGCCAAUACCACGGUUCGAUGACGGUACCCGCAGAAUAAGCACCGGCUAACUACGUG
rnacentral:rRNA from 1 species